GGUAGAGGAAAGAGCACAAGUAGAAACCCAAGGUGGGAGUGGAUUUCAGUUCCUGGACCUGGAUACCCCUCCAUAGGAAGGGGCUUUAGCAGCUCCCUCCACAUGGGGCCCUCCAGGGAUAUAUGGGAACUUGCUCACACUUGCUUCAGUUGAACACGUGGGCUCCUAGCCUACCACCUGCAUAGGACAGCCCUCUGCACUCCUCCCCCACCCGACCUCACUGCCAGCGUGCUCAUAUGGGUGGGCUCCCCUGGGGCAGCAGAGCGAUGACCUAGAAGGGGCCCAUCCCCGUGUAAGCAAUUAAGAUACCAAAUCUACACACCUGCACAGAAUACCCUCCUCUCACUGGACCCCAGGCCACAUCCUUGCCCCGGAUCUCACUUGAUUACAGGGCCCUGGAGUUUAUAGCAUGACUGUUCUUAGUGGUGUCAUCUACAAAGUGGGACGAUUAUGGUACCUAUUGUGAAGAUUACAUGAAUGAUGUGUGUAGUGCUUGGAACCAGGCCUAGCACCUGGAACUCAAAGACGUUCACUCAUGGUACUCACGGUAUUUUAGUUGCCAGCUUAAUAUAUUUCUUUGUCACCUGCAGGUGGAGUCCCUGUCUUGUUCUUCUCAGUGUCUCUGGUGCUUAUCAAAGUGCCUAGAAAGCGCUCCACAAACGGCAAAUAAAUGACUGAGUUCACCCAUGCAUCCAACUAACAUUUAUAGAGCACCUAUGCGUGCCAGGUUCCGCUCAGUGUGCUGAGAAUAGAGAUGAACAAGGCGGAAUUUGCCCCUGACCUCAUGAACUUAGGUUUAAAGAGGGAGGACCGCAGAUCACAAGCAGCCCCAGUGCUGGAGUGAUGCAGAAGCACUCAGUUGGUGUUCAAUCAUGUUUUAGAGUGAAUAAAUGAAGGCUGGUCUUUCAAGGGGUCAUUCAGGCCCAACUCUCCACCCUGUAAGUGUAUUUCCUGCACCAGCCCUCAAUUUCAGCCUGGUCUGCUCUGGAGGAAGUGCAGUAUUUCCAUGGAAGAUGGGAGUCAGUUGUCAAAUACACUUUCUAAUGCUUUUUAUGGAGGAAGACUCAGCUCUGAGGCUACUGUUGAAGGAAGCAAGGCCAUCCAAACUGUCCUUUGACCUCUCAAUCUUACACAGUUUUACAUCUUGGAAAACCAGGCUCUAAUCUUUGGUUUUGUGCCUCUCUCGCCCACCGUACUGUGAGUACCUGCCAGUCAGUACCUCAGCCCCAGCCCUGUUUUCUCCAUAUUGGCAUCUGUUCCACACCUGUGCGGCCAAGCUGCCGCGUUAGACGACGCCCCACUAACUUCCGAAGACACCUGGAGAGGUGUUGGGGCUU